rnacentral:rRNA from 1 species
AUGGGAACCCGCGGGCUCGCCGUGCUGCUCCUCGCGGCCGUGCUGCUGCAGGCCCUCCUCCCGGCGUCGGAGGCGGAGGGCCUGGUGCGGAUCGCGCUGAAGAAGCACGCCAUCGACCGGAACAGCCGCGUCGCCAAGAGCCUCUCCGACCGCGAGGAGGGGCCCCUCCUCGGCGGCGGCGCCGCCAACACCCUGCGCUCCGAGGAGGAGGGCGACAUCGUGUCCCUCAAGAACUACAUGAACGCGCAGUACUUCGGGGAGAUCGGCGUCGGCACCCCGCCGCAGAAGUUCACCGUCAUCUUCGACACCGGCAGCUCCAACCUCUGGGUGCCCUCCGCCAAGUGCUACUUCUCGAUUGCGUGCUACCUCCACGCACGCUACAAGGCCGGGGCGUCCAGCACCUACAAGAAGAAUGGAAAGCCUGCUGCCAUUCAGUACGGCACUGGUUCAAUUGCUGGAUAUUUCAGCGAGGAUAGUGUUACAGUGGGUGAUCUUGUUGUGAAAGAUCAGGAGUUCAUUGAGGCUACAAAGGAGCCAGGUGUUACUUUCUUGGUUGCAAAGUUCGAUGGUAUUCUUGGGCUUGGGUUUAAGGAAAUAUCUGUUGGCAAAGCAGUUCCUGUGUGGUAUAAUAUGGUAGAGCAAGGUCUCAUCAGUGAUCCUGUUUUCUCGUUCUGGUUGAACCGACAUGCUGAUGAUGAAGGAGAGGGUGGUGAGAUUAUUUUUGGAGGAAUGGAUCCCAAACACUACGUGGGUGAGCACACAUAUGUCCCAGUCACCCAGAAGGGAUAUUGGCAGUUUGACAUGGGUGAUGUCCUGGUUGGAGGGAAGUCCACAGGAUUCUGUGCUGGCGGUUGUGCCGCAAUUGCUGAUUCUGGAACUUCACUGCUUGCUGGCCCCACGGCCAUCAUUACUGAAAUUAACGAGAAGAUUGGUGCGGCUGGGGUAGUCAGCCAAGAGUGCAAAACAAUUGUUUCUCAGUAUGGACAACAGAUCCUCGACCUGUUGCUAGCAGAGACACAGCCCAAAAAGAUCUGCUCCCAGGUUGGUCUGUGCACCUUUGAUGGGACUCGUGGUGUUAGUGCUGGAAUUCGGAGCGUGGUUGAUGAUGAGCCUGUGAAAUCAAAUGGCCUCCGUACCGAUCCCAUGUGCAGUGCCUGUGAGAUGGCUGUUGUGUGGAUGCAGAACCAACUUGCACAGAACAAGACCCAGGAUCUCAUACUGGAUUACGUUAACCAGCUGUGCAACCGUCUCCCGAGCCCCAUGGGAGAAUCAGCCGUGGACUGUGCCAGCCUCGGAUCCAUGCCUGACAUUGAGUUCACCAUUGGCGGCAAGAAGUUUGCGCUGAAACCAGAAGAGUAUAUCCUGAAGGUUGGUGAAGGAGCCGCUGCCCAGUGCAUCAGUGGAUUCACAGCCAUGGACAUCCCCCCUCCCCGCGGUCCUCUCUGGAUCCUGGGAGACGUCUUCAUGGGCCCCUACCACACCGUCUUCGACUAUGGCAAGCUGCGGGUCGGCUUCGCCAAGGCGGCCUGA